GCCGCGCCAGGGAGGAGGAGUGGGAGCAGGCGUGACAAGAUGAAGGUCUACGUAUUCAAACCACGUCACACCAUGAGAAAGUAGAAAGAAACAGCGAUGUUGUAAAGCGGAUUAUCGACACCACUGCAUUUUUGGGCAUGCAAUAAUAGGCUUUUAGAGGACACGAUGAGAGGGAAAGUUCCGCUAACAAGGGCAACUACAAUGAGAUUGUGGAGCAACUGGGUUCUACAGUUUGACCCCACUGCUGUCCCUGGCUCCACACACAUCCUGCCCGGCCAUCUAGAUGUGUGAAGGCAGAAAUUGGAAAAAAAGGGUCUGCUCCUUAUUAAGAGAUGAUGACCACUCAGCUACUGUUGUCAUCUCUCUCCGGACAUGAACUGAAGCCACGUUUCAUUUGCCCGCUCAUUCACUGGCAAGUUGAAUGUUUCCUGUCCAAGCACUUCAAAUCCUGUCCUGCCCUCAGUGGAAGAGUUGAGCUCUUCUCCAAACACCAUCCAUCCAUCCAUGAUGAGCCUGUCCUGCACUAAAGUCUAUGAACACCUCAACCCCCGUCCUUCACUGAAGUCGAACCUCUGAACACCUCAACUCAUGCCUCAUACCCUCAUUCAAUCACUGCUGUGAUCCCUUCCCAACACUAUCAUUUGGCAAUACGUCCAACCGCGCCAGCCCAGGACCACAACAUCCGGCUUCUUCACCAGCGGGAUCGUCUUGAGACCACCCUGACAGCUGAUGAAACUGUGAGUUUUCACAACCAAAUAAUUUCUGCACAAACUGUCAGAAACCGCCUCCGGGAAGCUCUUGUGCAUGCUCGUCGUCCUCACCAGGGUCUUGACCUGACUGCAGCUCGGCAAUAUAACCGACUUCAGUGGGAAAAUGCUCAUGCUGGAGAAGUGUUCUCUUCAAGGAUUAAUUCCGGUUUCAACUGUACCGGACACAUGGCAGAGGUGUGAAGUCAAUGUCGUGAAUGGAGUGCCACAUGGUGGUGGGGUUAUGGCAUGGGCAGGCAUAAACUAUGGACAAUGAACACAAUUGUAUUAUAUCCAGCAACUUCGCACAGUCAUUGAAGAGAAGUGUGACAACAUUCCAAAGGCCACAAUCAAAAGCCUGAUGAACUCUAUACGAAGGAGAUGUGUUGUGCUUCAUGAGUCAGAUGGUGGUCACACCAGAUACUCAGAUUUUCUGA